rnacentral:lncRNA from 1 species
AUGAGCUGCCUCCCGCUCGCGCGCGCGCGUGCCCGCACCGGCUCGGCUCGGCCCCGCGCGCCGCGGCCCCGCAGCAGCUGCCUUCCCCGAGGCGCUGCAGGCAGCCCGGCACCCCCCACCCGCCCUGAUUCCCAUCCCCACAAGCCCCCCCGGGCGCCAGAGCCCUUCGCCCUCGAUGACUUUGUGCUUCGGGCUCCGCUAGGAGCAGCCGGCGGCAUCUCCAGGGACCGCGUCUCGCACGUCCCCCGGAUGCCGGCGGACGCAGCCCCCGCCGCCAGCUGCUCCGUCCCCCGGCCAGAGCCGGGACAGCCGUGGCGGGGGGGGGGGAGGCAGCCCCACGCUGAGCCUUGGGGACAGCUGUGGGGGCCCCGCGCACAGCAGGCGCCUGCGGCAGUUGCUGCACCCGGGGCAGGUGCAGACGAUGGGGGCCGCAGCUCCAGUGGCAGUAGGGGGGACCGGGAACAACUGCGAGGAGGGGGGGGCUCAGUGCUGCCAGCCCCUCGGCAGUGGUGGGGCCACCCUGGCACCACCGAGCCCCCCCUAGCGGCUGCGGGUGCUCCCCAAACCGUGCCCGGUGUUGGUGGGAAACUGAGGCACGAAGAGUGGCCGGGAGCCCCGCUGACCUGGGCUCGUCCCCACGGUGCCGUGGCCAAGGGAGGGCGAUGGAGGCUCAGCGCCUCAGCUCCAUCCAUGUCGCCGCGGGACCUGUCCUCCUCCUCCUCCCACAACCAGCCCGGCGCUCUCUUACCUUCUCCAGCUUCUCCUCCCUUGGCAGCAUCCGUCCCACGUGUCCCUGCGCAAAGUCCCGAAGGGCGGAAACCUGGAGGGCAGCCUCUGCCAUCAGGGAAACGCCAGCAGCAGGUCAGCUGCUUUUUCGGGAGGGCUCGGACACCGUCGUUGCUAAAGCCCGGUGGAGCUCAGGCUGUUGCACGUGUCAUCUCGCACGUGGAUCCCAACUCAUGUCCCAAAUGUGCCAGACAUGCCCAGUUUAAGCCUGAAAACGUGCCUGGAUAA